CUCUUCGAUGUUCUGGGCUGCACGCGCGCUACAGUGGCAAAGACAGAGAGCAUGAAUUAAUUAUAGAGUCGCAUCGAGGGAUGUGACGAAUCAGCAAUCGUUGUCGUGAUUGGGAUUGAGCGUUGUAAUAUUUGCUCAUGAAAGAGGAAUUCCUCGUAAGCGCGAGUCACUAACUCGUGUUAAUUACGUCUCUGCCCUUUGUACACACCGCCCGUCGCUACUACCGAUUGAACUGGUUUUUGAAGUGUAGAGAUUGGCAGGCAUGGUUUACGUGCAUUGCAAAGAACCACUCUGAAGAAAUCGUUCGAGAAGAAGUAAAAGUCGUAACA
rnacentral:rRNA from 1 species